GAUGAACGCUGGCGGCGUGCCUAAUACAUGCAAGUCGAGCGAACAGAUAAGGAGCUUGCUCCUUUGACGUUAGCGGCGGACGGGUGAGUAACACGUGGGUAACCUACCUAUAAGACUGGGAUAACUUCGGGAAACCGGAGCUAAUACCGGAUAACAUUUGGAACCGCAUGGUUCUAAAGUGAAAGAUGGUUUUGCUAUCACUUAUAGAUGGACCCGCGCCGUAUUAGCUAGUUGGUAAGGUAACGGCUUACCAAGGCAACGAUACGUAGCCGACCUGAGAGGGGGAUCGCCCACACGGGAACUGAGACACGGCCCAGACUCCUACGGGAGGCGGCGGAAGGAAAUCUUCGGCAAGGGGCGAAAGCCUGGCGGAGCAGCGCCGCGUGAGUAAUAAGGGUUUUCGGCGCGUAAACCUUUUUUAUGAGGAAAGAAAAAAUGUGAAAGUAUCUGUGCACGUUUUGACGGUCCCUAAUCAGAAAGCCACGGCUAACAACGUG
rnacentral:rRNA from 1 species